rnacentral:tRNA from 1 species
GGAGGGGUCGCAUAGUGGUUUAGUGCACCGGUCUUGAAAACCGGAGUGGGGCAACUCACCGAGAGUUCGAAUCUCUCCCCCUCCGCCA